GACAGAGGUGCCGAGCGUUAGGCGGAAUCACUGGGCUUAAAGCGUGCGCAGGCGGUUCGUUGUGUCGGCGGUGAAAGCCCCGGGCUUAACCUGGGAAUGGCCGUUGAAACUGGCGAACUGGAGUGUGGCAGAGGGGGGUGGAAUUCCGCGUGUAGCAGUGAAAUGCGUAGAGAUGCGGAGGAACACCGAUGGCGAAGGCAGCCCCCUGGGCUAACACUGACGCUCAGGCACGAAAGCGUGGGGAGCAAACAGG
rnacentral:rRNA from 1 species